rnacentral:lncRNA from 1 species
AUAGAAGAAAGAAAUUAAAUUAUUUUCUUCUUUAGUUUUAUUUAUUAUAUCAUUUUUACCCUAUUUUAGUUUUUAUACCCUUUUGUUUAUCCUUUGGAAAUAUCCGCUACAUUCUAUUUGGUAUGUUAAAUUUAAAUUUGCAAUUUAUUCAGGUAGUAAUUAGACAUAUGUUACUAUGAGGCAUAUGUGGUUAUCAUUGGACCAUAGAUUUUGAACUAUAAAAGACUUUAUAAGUUAAAGAUUUAUGUCCCCAACCCCAAUUUAGAGAUAAAGAAACUGAGACCAGAUAAAGUAAAUCUUUUGGCUGAAGUUACUCUGCUAGUAAGGGUCUGAGGCAGGAUUUGAACCCAGGUCUUACCAACUCCUACUCUAGUACAAAAUGGUGACUAUCACUACUUAGUUGUUAUUUGUUAAUUAAAUGGUUUUCAAUAUGGUACAAAUAAAGCCACAAGCAUCUGAACUCUGAUGAUUCUAGCAUCCUAGACAUCAUGCCUAGAAGGGAUGUUGAGCCAAAUUCCUCAUUCUGCAAGAGGACAUUGAAGGGAAGUGGUAGCUGAGACUGAAGCUAUGAUCUCUUCAUUCCCUGCCUAAGGCUCAAACCAAGACUCACCAGUCUUUUAGCCUGCAAGAUCUUUGAUGUGAAGCUGAUGGAAAAACCGAUAAGUGGAAUAUGAGGCAAUAUCCAACAAAUGGAAACAUGUCCUGGAGAGUUUCCACCUCCCUGCUUUAGUGAAUUGUUGGGUUGGUACAUAGAGGAGGGAGGAACCUCCACAAACAAUUCUCAAGGGGUAGAAAGAUGAACAAAACGCUCUGCUUUCUGAGACACCAGAUUGUAGAGGGAAGUGGAGAUAAGAAUCUGAAGAACUAUGAAAAACAACGAAAGAUGAUUAUGCCAAAGGAGUUCAUCAUUUAGGCAGAUGGACAAAGGCAGGAAGGCUGUAGUAAUUACUGAACACCAGAAACCAGAGAAUUGUCAAGUCCUCGAGAUGCAAGGAUGUCCUCAGAUGUCCCCUGGUCCAGCCGCCUCUGCAGUACUGAUGUCUUGGGCAACGCUCCAUCCAGUGGCCAUGUCAGCUCUGCUCGAAUGAUCCGAGAGCCCAUUUUAUUGUUGGCUUCUGCUGAAAUAGAAACUUGGACCAAGCCAUUACAAAACCUUUGAAAGUGCUGAAGAUCAUGAAAUAAAGAGCUGCUUUGGGGAAUAAUCUUGAGGUCA